AUGGGUCCCAUAAAAAAAUGUGGACCCAUUUAACUUUUAUGGGACCCAUAUAAAUUUUAACCAAUAGAAGAUAGUGUGUUAGAGUGUGUUUGUUAAAAAGUGUGUUGCUAACACUCCUCUUUUUAAAAUGAUCUCUUCCGACCUCGUGUUUUUUUUAUAUCUUGAAUUUCCAAUUUUGCCCUUGCAAAAAAUUUCGGUUUAUAGAAAUCGAAGCUUUGAAUUAAACCAUACACCGGUUUAAUUCUUCGUAAACUCAUCCUUUGAGGAGAAUAUUACUUGAACCGUCUCCCCUUUACAAGUCUACAUCAACUCAUUCUUUUCACCCCUCAGAUGUGAUCUCGCAGCAAAAUAAUAAUAGAGGUUUUUUACUUGAACUGUCUCCCCUUUACAAGUCCACAAGAUAUUAUUUUUUUGACAAAACAAGAAAAAUAGUUUUAAUCAAUAAGAAAAAUAGUUAAAAUGAGGUUUUUUUGGUCAAGAGAGGACAAACUCACGCUGGAUGUCGGGGAAAACGGCAACGUAUGAAGAGGGAAAGAAUGAAGAGCAUUUGCUUUCAGUUAGGGUUACAGAAUGAAAAAAUGAAAAACACCCUAAGCGUAGGAUGUUGGUUAAUGGAAACUUUUUUUUAAAAAAAAAAAUAAAAAAAUUUAUUUNNNNNNNNNNNNNNNNNNNNNNNNNNNNNNNNNNNNNNNNNNNNNNNAGCAUUUGCUUUCCGUUAGGGUUACAAAAUGAAAAAAUGAAAAACACCGGAUGCGGUUAAUGGAAACUAUUGGGUUUGGCCCAAUUCUGAUAGUAGAAAGGUGGUCCAAACAUGCAUUUUUAUUAAAUUUAAUGAAUCAAUUUUUUUUUGCUUUUUAGUGAAUAAUAAAAACUAAAUCAAAUCUAUUGAAAAUAUGUACACCAAAGAAUAUAUCUGGAAAAUUUAUUGAAAAUAAUAAAAAAAAAUUAAAUUUCUUUUACUUAAUAAAAUUAUUUAAAUAUUACUGUAAUUGUUAUUGUUGAACUUGAAUUGGUCUUUACAAUUAAAUUUAUUUAGUCUUUUAUCUUUUUUCUAGGUUCCUCAUUAUAGUUUUUUUAUGGCUUAAUCUUAUUUAUGUUUUUUUU
rnacentral:lncRNA from 1 species